rnacentral:rRNA from 1 species
AUUGAACGCUGGCGGCAGGCCUAACACAUGCAAGUCGAACGAGUGGCGGACGGGUGAGUAAUGUCUGGGAAACUGCCCGAUGGAGGGGGAUAACUACUGGAAACGGUAGCUAAUACCGCAUACUAUCGGAUGUGCCCAUAUGGGAUUAGCUAGUAGGUGGGGUAACGGCUCACCUAGGCGACGAUCCCUAGCUGGUCUGAGAGGAUGAUCAGCCACACUGGAACUGAGACACGGUCCAGACUCCUACGGGAGGCAGCAGUGGGGAAUAUUGCACAAGGGGCGCAAGCCUGAUGCAGCCAUGCCGCGUGUAUGAAGAAGGCCUUCGGGUUGUAAAGUACUUUCAGUGGGGAGGCGUUACCGGCAGAAGAAGCACCGGCUAACUCCGUGCCAGCAGCCGCGGUAAUAC